GAGUUUGAUCUUGGCUCAGAUUGAACGCUGGCGGCAUGCCUUACACAUGCAAGUCGAACGGCAGCACGGGAGCUUGCUCCUGGUGGCGAGUGGCGAACGGGUGAGUAAUGCAUCGGAACGUAUCCUGGAGUGGGGGAUAACGUAGCGAAAGUUACGCUAAUACCGCAUAUUCUGUGAGCAGGAAAGCGGGGGACCUUCGGGCCUCGCGCUCUUGGAGCGGCCGAUGUCGGAUUAGCUAGUUGGUGAGGUAAAGGCUCACCAAGGCGACGAUCCGUAGCAGGUCUGAGAGGAUGAUCUGCCACACUGGAACUGAGACACGGUCCAGACCCUACGGGAGGCAGCAGU
rnacentral:rRNA from 1 species